UACGUAGGGUCCGAGCGUUGUCCGGAAUUAUUGGGCGUAAAGAGCUCGUAGGCGGUUUGUCGCGUCUGCUGUGAAAUCCCGAGGCUCAACCUCGGGUCUGCAGUGGGUACGGGCAGACUGGAGUGCGGUAGGGGAGAAUGGAAUUCCUGGUGUAGCGGUGGAAUGCGCAGAUAUCAGGAGGAACACCGAUGGCGAAGGCAGUUCUCUGGGCCGUAACUGACGCUGAGGAGCGAAAGCCAGGGGAGCAAACGGG
rnacentral:rRNA from 1 species